GAUUUUUAUAAGUGCAUGAGAUAGAAAAAUGAGUUCGGAUAAGGCUUGCAUUGGAUCAAGCAAUUAUAGUGUUGACGCAUAUACGAAAAGCUUCUUCAAGAGCCUGGCUCAUAUGUUGGUGAAGUUUUCAAAAUUAUCGGCAAGAACAAAGUGUUGGUCAAGAAUAUGCAAAAGCAGCAAAACUUGCAAAUCCGACAAUGGUGAUGAUGGGAAUGUGAUUUUGUGUUUUCUGGAUCUGCGAUGAUGACUCGCCGGAGCUGUUUUGACGGUGGUGAAGUGGUGUUGCAGCUGUUGAGUUUCACUUCUCAUUUAAAAGUUAUGAGUUUUUUAUAUUUGGAUUAUAGUGUGUUGAGUUUAAUAAUAUAGUGCUAUGAAGUUGAAGAUACUGUCAAAUUUGUUGCAGAAAAAUAGUUAAUAACCUUAUAGAAUAUUGU